rnacentral:lncRNA from 1 species
UGUAUUUCAUCUUAGUAGACUAAUCAUCCCCAUUAUGAGGAAUGCUUAGACCACCCACAUUACUUCCUUCUCUCCCUUCUUUAAUCACAUUCAGUUCCUCGUGCUUGUUGAGUAUCUGAACUAAGUUGGACUUCUCCACUUGUUUCAUCCGCCUCACCAUAGUUUUACCGUAUUUAUUAGGUGUUUGCUAGUCUUGAUCUCUAUUUCUUUCCUUUUGUGCUCCAUGAUUCUUAACUACAUAUUGUUGUGUUCUCCCUAUUGCUCCUUUCCCUGCAUCUUUCCUCUUCUCCGGUUCAUUUGCUUUCUG